rnacentral:rRNA from 1 species
AACGUAGGAGACAAACGUUAUCCGGAGUUACUGGGCGUAAAGGGCGUGUAGGCGGUCUGUUAAGUUCUGGCGUGAAAGCUCCGUCGGCUAAACCGGGGAGAGGUCGGUUGAUACUGGCAGACUAGAGGACGGUAGAGGCGUGUGGAAUUCCGGGUGUAGUGGUGAAAUGCGUAGAGAUCCGGAGGAACACCAGUGGCGAAGGCGACACG